AUCCAGCUGGUGAGUCCCAAAUAGGACGAAACGCGCAUUCUGGAU
rnacentral:hammerhead_ribozyme from 1 species